rnacentral:rRNA from 1 species
UGGGGAAUUGUUCACAAUGGGCGCAAGCCUGAUGACGCAACGCCGCGUGGGGGAUGAAGGUCUUCGGAUUGUAAACCCCUGUCGAAUGGGACGAAAGACUCGCGAGUUAAUACUUCGCGGGAGUGACGGUACCGUUAAAGGAAGCCACGGCUAACUCUGUGCCAGCAGCCGCGGUAAUACAGAGGUGGCAAGCGUUGUUCGGAAUUACUGGGCGUAAAGGGCGCGUAGGCGGCCUACUAAGUCAGACGUGAAAUCCCCCGGCUUAACCUGGGAACUGCGUCUGAUACUGGAAGGCUUGAGUAUGGGAGAGGGAUGUAGAAUUCCAGGUGUAGCGGUGAAAUGCGUAGAUAUCUGGAGGAAUACCGGUGGCGAAGGCGGCAUCCUGGACCAUUACUGACGCUGAGGCGCGAAAGCUAGGGGAGCAAACGGGAUUAGAUACCCCAGUAGUCCCUGAGCGGGCUGGCAAGGCGCAU